UUGGAGUAACCUUCUUUACCUUCAAAAAUGAUACUGCUGGUGGUAACUACAUGUAGGAACUAUUAAAGUGUCUUCCCAUAAAGUAGAUAUUGGGAAACUGAUACCAGUAUACUGGAAUUUCUUAUCGAGUGAAAAGUUCCUGUUUUUCACUUGAGAAGAUGUUAGAGGUGAGGUAAUAGAUUUCUGAGGUAUUCACUUCAUCAGCAGCAUCAGUAUUCCCAAGCAAGGGGGAAAAGGACCUCACCUGAACUUCUGUCAGUGUUUGCAUUAGACCAGAGUGCACACUUAGCUCUACCUGUGUGCGGCCCCAGCUUCAGUGUGUUUCUAUUUCCAGAGGAGGAGAAGAGUAGUAAAAUCUCGGGGGGGUUGUAGUGGUGUUAUCAAGAACUCUUUGUCCUAUGGAAUAUUGUUGCUUUCAGUCCUCUUGAAAGCAGGAAUGAUGUGACUCCAUGGAAAUAAGUAUUGUCUGUGUUAAGAGCAGUACUUCCACGGGUUUAUGCCACUUUGAUUAAAAGCCUUUACAUAGAUAUCUAUUGUGUAGAGAAGUAGUAGUUGCUGUUUCUUUUUUGGUGGCUUCAUAUGUUUUGUAAUUGGCUGAGUGUUCCUUAAAAUAACCUGAUUGGUACAAUGUACUAACAGAAGCUUACUAAGCGCAUGCUAUUUUAUAUCUCAUUUUUACCUCCCCAAAUUCCAGUUACUAUCUUCACUUUGUGAAGAACAAUCUCAGAGGAGAAUUCGCUCAGUGUCACAUUAUCUACUAACUGUUCGAGCUUUUAAUGCUAAGGCGAUUGAGGAACAGUGAUGGCAUUCAGCUACAAUUGUUUCUUUCUUAAUUGGGCACUUCCUUUCCCUGACAGAGACAGAAUAGGCAUGCAAAAUACUCUCAUGGCAUUGCAAAAUAAAAAGAUUAAAGAACAUCUCUAUUCUAAUAUCUUGGUAUAACUUGCAUAAAUUAUCUUUUGGGGAUGAAAAAGUUGACCAGUUCUGUGUGUUCUCAAAGCAGAAUUGUCUAAUGACCAGGAAAGUCCCUGGCCUCCUGAAGCAAGGUUGACCAAUGAUCUCUGACUCGUUCCACCACUCAGCCGUUCUUACUGUUUGUGAACAGAUAGGUACAAUACUCUUUCUAAGUGUAGUAAACCGUUGAAUUUGGUUAUCUCCCAAAAGAAAGAGAAAGGGGCUAGGGCCUGAAUGGUUCAGUGACACAUGGGACCGACCAGUAAGUAGUGACACCUAGCCUGAUACUGUCAAGGGCCCAUGGCUGCCAGGUGUGGCUACUCCCACCCAGCAGUUGCAAGUUUAUGUGAGGUAUUUAUGAAGUUUAAUUUCCAACUCUGUGGCUUCUCUAUCUUGUAUUAACUUAUAUAUUGUGAGAUAAUACUGCUCCAUUUCACUUUUGUCCAGAUUAAGAUGACUGACAAACUGAGGUAGUUCCAAUUCAUCUCAGCCCAUUGGGUCCCAGGAUGAUAUGCUUGACUGUUGUAAAUUCUGCACAAAUGUCAUAUAUUCUGUAACAGCAUCAGUAAAGUGGUGGUAUUAAUAUUCAUGACCUUGCGGGCUAUCCUUCAAAGGGGUAUGGACGGUAACAUGGUUUAGUUAAGCCGGUAGUCAUACUUUCUCAGCCCAGAAUUAUAUAGAUAUUUACUCCUGAUAGAACAAUUGGUGUAGUGUGGCUACCUUAUACACUGAUGUGCAUUUUACUUUUUGCACUUUUUGCACAACUUUAUGUUGUGGAGAGAUUUCAGGGUAAGUACACAUCAUUCUUUUGAAUGGCUUUGUUGUAUAGCUUAGUUAAAUCUCCCAUUAAUGGACAUUUAGAUGAUUCUCAUAUUUUACAUUAUUACACUAUUGUAGCAUACUUUUUUAUGUCUUUAUUUCUCAUUUCUCUAGAAGGAUUUAAUAGAAAUGGAUUUGCUCAAAUAAUAUACCUUGAAAAUGUAAAAGAUAAAGCCAAAUUGAUUUCUAAGCUUUAUGGUAACUUACACUUCUGACAGUAAGGUGAAUGCUGGUUUUCCUAUACCCUAGCCAAUACUGCAGAGCAGUGGUCGCCAACCUUUUUGGCAUCAGGGACCAGUUUUGUGGCAGACAGUUUUUCCAUGGACCUGGGGUUUGGGGGGUGGUUUCAGGAUGAAACUGUUCCACCUCAGAUCAUCAAGCAUUAGUUAGAUUAGGUGCACAAUAGGGUUCGAGUUCCUAUGAGAAUCUAAUGUGGCUGCUGAUCUGACAGGAGGUGGAGCUCAGGUGGUAUUGCUCGCUUGCCUGCUGCUCACCUUCUGCUGUGUGGCUUGGUUCUUAACAGACCACCAUUACUGGUCCGUGGCCUGGGGGUUGGGGACCCCUCUGUGGAGGAUAUCAUCACUCCUAGUCUAUGUUCAUUAUUGAGGGGUUAUCAUUUACUGCCUUUUGGUAAUUUGUAUUUUUCCUGUGAAUUACCUGUUCGUGUUCUUUAUUCAUUUUUCUGAAGGGCAUUGAUCUUUUUAUGUACUGAUUCACGAGGACUUAAGCCUAUGAUGCAGUUGUUUUCCCAGUCUUGGGAGCUGGCAGAUGCCAUUACCCAGGUCAGGAGAUAGAACCUUGCCAGCUAUACCCUGAAGCUGUUCAAGUCUUUCUCCCAAUUACAGUCUUCAUAAGAGUUGUUAGAAGGACUGAAUGAGAUGAAGUAGAGGAAAGUCUUCUAGGACAGGGGUCCUCAACCCUUGGGCCACAGACUGGUGGCAGGAGGGCUGCACAGCAGAUGGGAUGCCUGGUUGCAAGAAAACAAGCUCAGGGCUCCCACAGAUUCUACGUGAUGCAGUUUUCACAGAUUUGUGGCCAGAUGCUAGAGACAAAGGCUGAGAAGUUGUCCAGGACGUCAUAUUCUUGCUUUGCUGGAGGCAGAUCUGAAGGAUGUCAUCUCUCCUGUGGCUUCUUCUAGUGUGGGGUCCCGAAGCCUGGCUUCCCCAGCCGAUGUGCUGCUUUAGUCAGCGUCUGCCCUGGUCCUUCGGUUCGCAGGCUCACACGCUUUUUUGGGUUGUGUCCCUUUGGACUGCAGAGGCUACGUGUCCUGUGACCAACCACGAAGGCGGCCACUCCCGCUCCCCUCAGGAGUGUCUUAAAAUACCUCCAUUUUAGCUACCCUAUUGAAUGACAGGUUAGCUGGGUGCUGGGUUUUCAGGUGAUGGACAUUUUCCCUCAGUCCUCUGAAGGUGUUGCUGGCUUCAGGCAUUGAUGCCGCCACUCUGAUUGUUGUAUGCAGUGAGCAAACUAGAAUUUUCUCUUGGCUUUCUAGAUUUUCUUCUUUAUAUUCUGAAACUUUAUUAUAUCAAGGUUUGAAUUUUAUUUUUUUUGGAGACAGGGUCCUACUCUGUCAUCCAGGCUGGAGUGCAAUGGUGCAGUCCUGCUCACUGCAGCCUCCAAGUCCAGGGCUGAAGCGAUCCUUCUGCCUCAGCCUCCUAAGUAGCUGGGAUCACAGGUGUGCACCACUCUGCCUAACAAGGCUUGUUUUUUGUUUGUUUGUUUGUUUUAAAUAAAUACAUUCAGAUUGUUUUGCCCCUUGAUGAGUUUUUCAGUCUGCAUAGUCCUGUCAUUUUUUCACUUCUGGAAAAUUCUUAGUCAUGAUUUCUGCAAAUAUUUCCUCUCAUUCUGUUUUUUCCUUCUGGAACUCUUUCAUUACCUUUUUGUAGUCAUCUCUUUAUUUCCCUAUACUGCAUUUUUUAAUGGUUUCUUCUGUUCUGUUUUUACAAAUUCUAUCUAUCUUCACAUGGAUUUAGUCUAUUUUUUACUUUUACUCAUUAAUUUAAAAAUACAUUUAACUCCAUUUUCACUAAUGAGGGUGUAUGUGCAUUUAGUUUUUACUUUUAAAGAAGCAGGGUCUUGCUCUGCUGUUGAGGCUGGUAUUGAACUCCUGGGGCUCAAGCAGUGCAAGGAGCUGAGACUACAGGCAUGCGCUACCAC
rnacentral:lncRNA from 10 species